UACGGAGGAGGCAAGCGUUAUCCGGAAUUAUUGGGCGUAAAGCGUCCGCAGGUGGCACUUCAAGUCUGUCGUCAAAGACUGGGGCUUAACCCUGGAAGGGCGGUGGAAACUGAAGCGCUAGAGUGCGGUAGGGGUAGAGGGAAUUCCCGGUGUAGCGGUGAAAUGCGUAGAGAUCGGGAAGAACAUCGGUGGCGAAAGCGCUCUACUGGACCGCAACUGACACUCAGGGACGAAAGCUAGGGGAGCGAAUGGG
rnacentral:rRNA from 1 species